AUUGAACGCUGGCGGCAGGCCUAACACAUGCAAGUCGAGCGAGCGGCGGACGGGUGAGUAAUGUCUGGGAAACUGCCUGAUGGAGGGGGAUAACUACUGGAAACGGUAGCUAAUACCGCAUACCAUCAGAUUUGCCCAGAUGGGAUUAGCUAGUAGGUGGGGUAACGGCUCACCUAGGCGACGAUCCCUAGCUGGUCUGGGAGGAUGACCAGCCGCACUGGAGCUGAGACACGGUGCAGACGCCUACGGGGGGCAGCAGUGGGAAGUAGUGCACAAUGGGCGCAAGCGGGAUGCGGACAUGCCGCGUGUGUGAAGAAGGGGGUCGGGUUGUAAAGCACUUUCAGCGGGGAGGCUUGACCCGCAGAGGAAGCACCGGCUAACUCCGUGCCAGCAGCCGCGGUAAUUC
rnacentral:rRNA from 1 species